rnacentral:rRNA from 1 species
AGAGUUUGAUCCUGGCUCAGGAUGAACGCUGGCGGCGUGCCUAACACAUGCAAGUCGAGCGUGAUUGGUGAGAGUGGAGACUUCGGUCAAAGCGAUCAUCAUGAAAGCGGCGGACGGGUGAGUAACGCGUGGGCAACCUGCCCCAUACACGAGGAUAGCCACUGGAAACGGUGAUUAAUACUCGAUAAGACCACAGCACCUCCUGGUGCAGCGGCCAAAGAUUUAUCGGUAUGGGAUGGGCCCGCGUCUGAUUAGCUAGUUGGUGAGGUAACGGCCCACCAAGGCGACGAUCAGUAACCGACCUGAGAGGGCGGACGGUCACACUGGAACUGAGACACGGUCCAGACUCCUACGGGAGGCAGCAGUGGGGAAUAUUGCACAAUGGGCGCAAGCCUGAUGCAGCAACGCCGCGUGAGUGAAGAAGGCCUUCGGGUCGUAAAGCUCUGUCCUGUGGGACGAAACAAAUGACGGUACCACAGGAGGAAGCCCCGGCUAACUACGUGCCAGCAGCCGCGGUAAUACGUAGGGGGCAAGCGUUAUCCGGAAUCACUGGGCGUAAAGGGUGCGUAGGUGGUCCAUCAAGUCAGAAGUGAAAGGCAGUGGCUUAACCACUGUAAGCUUUUGAAACUGACGGACUUGAGUGCAGGAGAGGUAAGUGGAAUUCCUAGUGUAGCGGUGAAAUGCGUAGAUAUUAGGAGGAACACCAGUGGCGAAGGCGACUUACUGGACUGUAACUGACACUGAGGCACGAAAGCGUGGGGAGCGAACAGGAUUAGAUACCCUGGUAGCCCACGCCGUAAACGAUGAAUACUAGGUGUCAGCCCGCAGGGGUUGGUGCCGCAGUUAACACAAUAAGUAUUCCGCCUGGGGAGUACGCUCGCAAGAGUGAAACUCAAAGGAAUUGA